rnacentral:rRNA from 1 species
GACGAACGCUGGCGGCGUGCUUAACACAUGCAAGUCGAACGAUGAAGCUGGAGCUUGCUCCGGUGGAUUAGUGGCGAACGGGUGAGUAACACGUGAGCAAUCUGCCCUUGACUCUGGGAUAACUGCGGGAAACUGUAGCUAAUACCGGAUACGAGGCUCGAAGGCAUCUUCGGGUCUGGAAAGAAUUUCGGUCAAGGAUGAGCUCGCGGCCUAUCAGCUUGUUGGUGAGGUAAUGGCUCACCAAGGCGACGACGGGUAGCCGGCCUGGGAGGGUGACCGGCCACACUGGGACUGAGACACGGCCCAGACUCCCACGGGAGGCAGCAGUGGGGAAUAUUGCACAAUGGGCGAAAGCCUGAUGCAGCAACGCCGCGUGAGGGAUGAAGGCCUUCGGGUUGUAAACCUCCUUUAGCAGGGAAGAAGCGAAAGUGACGGUACCUGCAGAAAAAGCACCGGCUAACUACGUGCCAGCCGCCGCGGUAA